rnacentral:rRNA from 1 species
GACGAACGCUGGCGGCGUGCUUAACACAUGCAAGUCGAACGGUAAGGCCCUUCGGGGUACACGAGUGGCGAACGGGUGAGUAACACGUGGGUGAUCUGCCCUGCACUUCGGGAUAAGCCUGGGAAACUGGGUCUAAUACCGGAUAGGACUCCUGGCUUCAUGGUUGGGGGUGUAAAGCUUUUGCGGUGUGGGAUGGGCCCGCGGCCUAUCAGCUUGUUGGUGGGGUAAUGGCCUACCAAGGCGACGACGGGUAGCCGGCCUGAGAGGGUGACCGGCCACACUGGGACUGAGAUACGGCCCAGACUCCUACGGAGGCAGCAGUGGGGAAUAUUGCACAAUGGGCGCAAGCCUGAUGCAGCACGCCGCGUGAGGGAUGACGGGCCUUCGGGUUGUAAACCUC